CUAGGUUUUCUUCUCUUGCCUUUCUCUCACUUCCCUUUCUUUGUUCGACUGAAAAAGUUCCAAGGAACUUGAUCGAAAUUUUGCAUAAAUGAACCUCGUGGAGGUGAGAAUACAUUAAGUUGUUGACGAUGAUAUUAUUGGUUGAUUUCAUAAGAGAAUUAAGGGGAUUUCUUCUCCCUGUUUCUCAAUUUGGAGGGUGUUCAAAGUAAUCAUUUUAUUUCUUCAUCAAUUUGAAGGGGGUUGUGCUAUUACACAUAAUGACUAUGAAUGAUUGGUGUGGCCGUUAACGAUUAUGGAUGGAUGACUCUGAUUCUUGAAUGUUUUGGAGUAUUUGUAGCAUUAAGAAACUUGGAUUCUUAUUAGAACUUGAACUUGCAGGUGAAGACUCUUUGAGAAGAGCUUAAUACAACCAAGAUUUGCAGGGAAGGAGAAGAUAUAAAUUGUUCUUAGAAUAUAGGACGACAGAUAUCUCAUUCACCACAAGUUUCACAGCUGCAAAAGUGUUUGAUGAAUAGCCUGAAAGAAGAGAAAGGGUGUUCAAAGAAAGAUUGGGAUUAAAGACUUGAAACCAGAAUUUGUGGCUGCGUCUCGUUAUGUCGAUAUUCGGGUAACCGUUGGAAUUAUGGAGUCCCUUGAGCUUAUGAUGGACGCUACAAGAAAUGAUCUCGGUGAAGACUCUUUGAGAAGAGCUUAAUACAACCAAGAUUUGCAGGGAAGGAGAAGAUAUAAAUUGUUCUUAGAAUAUAGGACCACAAAUAUCUCACUCACCACAAGUUUCACAGCUGCAAAAGUGUUCGAUGAAUAGCCUGAAAGAAGAGAAAGGGUGUUCAAAGAAAUAUUGGGAUCAAAGACUUGAAACCAGAAUUUGUGGCUGUGUCUCGUUAUGUGGAUAUUCGGCUAACCGUUAGAAUUGUGGAGUCCCUUGAGCUUAUGAUUGACGCUGCAAGAAAUGAUCUCGGUAAUCAACCUAACUAUGCAUGUUCUUGAUUAAUGAUAUUGAUUGUGUCUUUCAUGCUAGUGGUGAUGUAAAUGUAUGUUUAAAACUGUUGGACUUAAUUCGUUUGGUAUAUAUACUUAAGCACAUGGACAGUU